rnacentral:rRNA from 1 species
GUUGUAUAGUCAAGUAAUGAAGUGCACAUGGUGGAUGCCUUGGCAGUCAGAGGCGAUGAAAGACGUGACAGCCUGCGAAAAGCGUCGGGGAGGCGGCAAUAUCCU